CAAACAUGGGGGCAUGUGCACGCUCUGUUCAAACAUCCACCCACACCUGUGCACCCUCCGUAGUUCUAUGGUUUGGGGGACACCCCGUGUCUUCCUCCAGUAGUUCUACGUCUUUACACGUACACCGUAUCAAAGUCUUAUGGAAUGAGCACCGCGUUCAACGCAAUACAAUACAACUUUCAGCAACGGAUCUCUUGGCUCUCGCAUCGAUGAAGAACGCAGCGAAAUGCGAUAAGUAAUGUGAAUUGCAGAAUUCAGUGAAUCAUCGAAUCUUUGAACGCACCUUGCGCCCCUUGGCUAUUCCGAGGGGCAUGCCUGUUUGAGUAUCAUGAACACCUCAACUCUCAUGGUUUGCCCAUGAUGAGCUUGGACUUUGGGGGUUUUGCUGGCCUGUGGUCAGCUCCUCUCAAAUGGAUCAGCUUGCCAGUGUUUGGUGGCAUCACAGGUGUGAUAAUUAUCUACGCUUGCGGUCGUCUGCCGAGUAACCUUUGGCGACAGAGGUUCACUGGAGCUUAUAAAUGUCUCUCCUCAGCGAAGACAGCUUUUUGACCGUUCGAUCUCAAAUCAGGUAGGACUACCCGCUGAACUUAAGCAUAUCAAUAAGGCGGAGG
rnacentral:rRNA from 1 species